UGGCAGCUCGUCGGGCUCAUAACCCGGAGGUCCUUGGUUCGAAUCCAAGCCCCGCUA
rnacentral:tRNA from 1 species